rnacentral:rRNA from 1 species
GACGAACGCUGGCGGCGUGCUUAACACAUGCAAGUCGAGCGGUAAGGCCCUUUCGGGGGUACACGAGCGGCGAACGGGUGAGUAACACGUGGGUGACCUGCCCUUAGCUCUGGGAUAAGCCUGGGAAACUGGGUCUAAUACCGGAUAUGACUCCAUGACGCAUGUUGUGGGGUGGAAAGCCUUGUGCGGCUAGGGAUGGGCCCGCGGCCUAUCAGCUUGUUGGUGGGGUGAUGGCCUACCAAGGCGACGACGGGUAGCCGGCCUGAGAGGGCGACCGGCCACACUGGGACUGAGACACGGCCCAGACUCCUACGGGAGGCAGCAGUGGGGAAUCUUGCGCAAUGGGCGAAAGCCUGACGCAGCGACGCCGCGUGGGGAUGACGGCCUGGUGU